CAGAGGAGGGUUAGAUAUCAGGAGGAGGUCACAGAGGGCCACCAUGCUGUGCUGUUAGCAACAUGCUGGAGAGAAUAUAAGCCGAGUUUGGCCUGUUAAUGGAUGAUGGGGGUAUAAAAGAAAAGGUAGAGAUUUCCCUGUGAGGCAGGCAAACUAUAAAAAAUUGUAUCUGGGGUCAUGGCAGGAUAAUGCUGAUAUUGUUUUAUCAGAUGGAGAAGGCAGAUGGACAUUUACAAGUCCAGUCAAAAGCCAACUUGAAGCUCACAGCAGCUGCACGGUAAAUGAUGACCUACUGUUGACUUGCGUUAAAGCAGAGAGAACAUCCAAGAGAGUAAAGAUGGAAGUAAGGGAUAAUAUAUAUUUAGCUAGUGGUUAUGCCAAAUAGAAUCCAAGCAGGGUAAGACAAGACCAGGGGCCAGAAAGGGCACCACCCAAGGACUUAAGGCUGCAGACUGGCUCAUAAGGAGUUAACACUUAGGAUAUGUUGCCAGGCCCAAGUAACGUACCUAGAGAAAUCAUUGUAAUCGACUAAAAUGUAAAAAAGAAUUUUUACUGUUCAGUUUAGUGCAGAGUUAUGACUGUCAGUGUAUUUUACUCUUCUAAUAAACUGUUGGGGGGGGGGGGCAGCUCACUGUUGGCAUUCCUUGGGUUGAAGGGGGGAACCAAUCUAGAGCAGAAUCAGGUGUGUGAGUGCCUGAUUGGCUUUAGUGAAACCAGGUGGAGGAAGGUGAUAUAAGUCCUUAAACUCCAGUGUAAAGUGCUGACUCAUUGUCUCUCCCCCUCCAUGUGCUCUUUCAAGAUAUGACAGUGUGUCCAUUUAAGCUCCUCGUACCUUUCAUUGAGAUUCAAUCCUUUGGUUUAGGAUUGGGCUGUAGGCUCUGGUUCUUCUUGGUGUCUUUGUAUCUUCAGACUUUAUCCAGCAUCUCUGGCCGUCUAGUAUUAUUCCUUGAUUUCUGAGAGUUGGUUCAAUUGAGCUACUUGGCAGCCGCUGUAGUCUGUUAUGGACUGGCCCGAGGUCUCGCUACAAACAAACAGCUGCUGGAAGGGAGUAGGUGAGUUGUGUAUAGUCUCUUUGCCAAAGAAAUUAGGCAGAGUUUAAAAGAUGUUUGGUGGCUAGUGCUAUGGCUGGGACUAGGCCUGUCACGAUAACAAAUUUUGCUGGACGAUAAGUGUGCUACAAAUUAUCGCCGAUAAACGAUAUUAUUGACACCGUUUUUUAAAUUAUAGAUAAUGAUAUGAAAUGGCAUAAUAAUGCGAGUACACCGUGUCAAAAGUGAUAGACUUUAAUUUCACCCACGACGAAGACGUAACGUUGACGAGCUAAACAUAAGUCGGAGAUGACUAAAAUGUGACGAGACGAAAGUGCGUUUACGUUGAUGGGACGAAAUGACGAACAGAGUCGCAAAACUCAGUCAGUUAAACACUAAACAUAUAGGAGCAGCUUCAGUCCGCUCUGACAGCUCUCAUCAGCCUGCUGUGCUCCUCCAACACACAGACACGCGCGCGCGCGCGCACACACGUGGAGUUUUGUGGUUGACGAAAACAAAACUGGUUUAAAGCCGAAAUAUUCCUACACUUGGGCUGUUGCGUUCGGUUUAGACACCAAAGCUGUCGUGUUCAUUCUGUUUGCUUGCUUUUCACUCACGACGCUCACUUGCAGCACUGUAUCCAAAAGUCUGUGGCUGUGUCCGAAAUGGCCUACUACUCCUACUACUCCUACUAACCCCGCCUCUGAAUUGAGUAGGCAGUGCGUUCACACUGUACAGUAUGCGAAUUUUGUGUAUGCGAGAAAUGCCCGGAUGUAUACUCAAUCGGCUUCGAUUUCUGAGUGUGCAACGGAGCUUGCUUCACGUACUGCUUCUGCCCCACAAUGCAUUGCGCACCUCAGCUGGUAAUAUGGCCCUCCUUCCCGAGGCUGAAAAGAAAUAGAUGGCAUGUGAUUGCAAUAAUAAUGAUAUAUAUAUAAAUAGAUUAACAAUAUUUAGUCCGUAUACAUUACACAAUUUUCAUCAUUUUAUCAUAUUUUGAUCUUUUUACCGGAUUUAUUUGUAUUUUAAAUUAGGAUUAUAGGCAAUGUUUUUAACUAUUCGUAUGAAUUGACUUUAUUUAUUUAAGUGUCUAUUAAAGAUGUAUUUAUUACAUCAAGUUUGAGCAUCUUCUCAUCUCUGAAUGCAUCAUCAAAGUGGUCGCUCAUAUUAAGCACAGACCUCUGAUUAAUAAAAAUUAUCUUUGGUAGAGAGCACAUGGUUCAGAAUAUACAAACGGGGGAGUUUCCAGUUGACAAUCUAUGUGAGCUUUACUAAUUCUUACUUGUGGUUGAAAAUCUGAUGGUUUCUGAAAUUAUCAUUGUACAUGAAAAGAAUGUAGUCGGGAAAUGAUGUAUUUGCCAAGGAAUAACCGAACAAGGUCAUAAUAAUUAUGUUGUGUGUUGGUCAUUUUGCAGCCCUCUGCUGCUCAUCACACGGCCAGCAGGUGGUGUAUAGCAUUAUCACCAUGGAUACACGGAUGUUUGUGUGAUUUUUUUCAUCCACUGCCGCCCGGUUUGUGUCGUGUAGAUGUUGAUUAUGAAAACACUUCGCAAUAAUUUGGAAACGUGAAGGGGGGGCUGCUGACGCAAACACCGACCAAGUGGACGCUUCGGUCUCCGAAAACGCCGAGACAAAUUUACAAACAGCCACUAUUUCAAACAACUGGGCUCAUAAUCGUGAUGUAAACACUUACUUUCUCGCUAGAAAAAAAUAUUAUUAUUGAAUGAAUUUAUAUAAUUUGUCCGGGAUGCAGUCGUUCUGUGUGGCUUGUGGUAGGACUAUUUAAAUUUUCCCGGCGCUGCGUCCGGCCGGCACGAAAUGCAUUCUGGGGUAUUUAGUAUGUAUGUGUGUAAACGCUCGGGCAGCCGCGGCAUACUCAAAUCCUCUUUGAGUAGUCAGUAGGCAGUAGCUACUGCUUGAGUAGGUAAGUAGAUAGUAGGCAGUAUGCCAUUUCGGACACAGCCUGUGUCUGUGUGCUUGUGCGCGCCUACGUGUACCUGCGCGCGCGCCCCCCCGUGACAAAGAUACUGAAUGACUGACAGGAGGGUUCACUAACUCCGUUCAUUCCGCUAUACAGCCAACGCCCCCAGGUGCCGAGAAAAAUGCGCAGAGUGAGACCUCUUCUCUCAUCCAGCGUGUUUGGUAGCGAGAGAGGAGGAAAACAAACGCACGUAAAUUAUCGAGGCUGGCAAAAUGACCGACCUCGUUUUUAUUUACCGAGCGAUAAGGCGAUUUAUUGAUUAUCGCGACAGGCCUAGCUGGGACCCUUUAUGUACUGUUGAUGUAGUUAGGUGCUGUUCUGAGCAUUAUUUGUGGCUAUAGAGUGGCGUUUUGGUUGAGGUUUGUUUAUGGCUCCUCAGACCGCUAUGUAUUGCUAUCGUACGGUCAUUACUAAAGUUGGUAUAAUUAGAGAAGCAAGUGGUCUGCAACAUUCAUCUCUCAACGGGGUAUCUAACUCAGUGUUUUCAACCUUCAUUGAUUCCUUUGUGUCAGCUUUUCACAAACACUGAAAAGAAAAGUGACCAAAACUGAGACGCUGCCACUGUAAAAAGGUCUGUUUUACAGGUCACUCUCCUCUGACUGUAGCUGCUGACCCUGUAGACUCGUACCCUAAUCAAGUGGCCUCCAACUGUCAGCCACUUAUCGCUAUGAUUAAUGUCGCCUGAAUUCCACAGCUCCAGCGUACAGGUGGCAGGGACUGUGGUCCGUGGGUCUGUCAUGCAUAAUGUAACACAGUCCCACAGCCUCCCACUGCAUCGUAUCCACUGAGUCCAGAUUAAUGCAUUACUCACAUAUGGUACAUGAACUGUUAUAUUUAUGCACAACAAUCUGCUUGUUCCAAGACAUUUAGUUGGCACUGAAACCUGCACUGAGACCUACUGUGAGAAAAAUAUGAGACUUUACUUUAGAUAGAAACACAUCGGAGGAGGAAGCUUUGGUGAAACAGCCAAAUGUGACAGAAGUGAGAACUGUCUGAUAAUAAGUUCAUGUCACGUAGGAAAUAUGAAGCCGUAGUUCCUCGGCUCUUGAGGUGCUGAGAAGCAUUAAAAAUAAUACCCUGUGUCAUCCAUUUUACACCAUGAUAUGUGGAGUAUGUUUCCCCUCAGUGAAUGAGUAAAGUGUGAUGUGGACAUUUCAAAAUAAGAAGGUUUAAUUCCCAUUUUAAAUCCUUUAUUUUAUUUAGUCUAUUACCUUUGAGUGACAUCAAAACACACUAGUACACACACAAAACAAUUUAUUACCACAGACACUCACAUGCCACAACAUUAGGUACAUUUGGGCAAUCUGCUGCAACCCAAUACAACAGCUCUACCAUAAAUUCUACUUUAACAAAGCUCCUGUGUUUCUCUACAUGAUCAGACAGGUGAUGAAUGUUCUUUAGAUAAAUUGUUGAAGUUUUAGUCAGAGUUGAUGGUGUACUAGAGCGUGUUAUAUUGACAAGGUGUUCCUAAUAUUUUGCUCUCCUCAUGUUAAUUAAUCAAGUGAAACUAAUAUAAGGAGCAUCUGCCAGCACAAAACAGUCCAGUGCACCACUACCACCUACUCUGUCUUCUCUAAUAAAGACAGUAAAUGAAUCACCUGUCUGAUCAUGUCAAUCAAAACUGAAGCUUUCUGGCAGCUUUGCUUAGGUACUGUUAAGUGAACUUAAGUACCUUUGUAGACAUUUAUUGUCACUUUCAUUUGCAUAAUUCAUUUACCACUUGUUUAUUUGACUAACAACCGUACUAGGACAUGUAGUCUGGGUUUUACUCUUGUCAUUGUUUUGUUGUUUUUAUCUUUCUUUGUUUUCCUGCAUGUCAAAGAACUUUAUAAGCUCUUGUUUUUAAAAGUCCUAUAUAAAUCAAGUUAUUAUUAUUGUUAUUAUUAUUACUCAAUGUGCCAGUUCCCCUGACAGUUUAAACAUAUAGCAACAAAACAAUGAGCUGGUCCAAGCCUGAACCAACCCUCAUUAUAAGCUUCAUCGAAAAGAAAAGUAUGUAGGAACUAUGAGCUCUUGAAGAUAUGAUGGUGCCUGUGAACUUCUGUAUUAUGUAAACCGCUGAUGCAUUUGUUAAACAACAUCAACCAAAGGACUGUAGGUAUUCAACCAAAUACUGUACAGUGUGUUGAAACAAUGCUGCUGUGGUUUGUGGCAUUGAGCAGUGUCUUCAUUUGCAUUGUACUUAUUCCGGUGUUUCUCCUUACAAAAAACUUUGCUCACAGCUGUUACAAUUUUUGUUGCAGGUUGUCUUAGUUAAAAAUGUUUACCAUGUCCUCAGGGACACUGAGGACUUUUAAAUGUUCACUGCUGUACAAAUACAUUAAACUUAGAUCUGGUUUAUACACUGGGAUGAAUAAAUAGAUAUAAUAUGAUGAAUAAAUAAAUAGAGCGUAAUGUAAAUGCCUACCAGACUGACUGAAUUUCAACAAAAUGACUUAUAUGGAAAUCUGUUUAAAAAUCUUUGCCCCAGUUUCAACUCUUCAUGAGGACACCCUUCUUACGGGCCAGACAACAUCUGUGUUUGAGCAGCAUUUAACUUUUUAAGUGAGGGGAUUUGUUGUUUUUGUGUGUGAGUGAACAACACCGUGUACCUUUGCAUGCAAUGACUACACUAACACAAAUAUACUACUGCUAGAGCGCAGAACUGAAGGCCCACUUCGGAAAGGAGAAACGAUCAAGAGAGUCAGGUAUCAUAACACAGUCAAGGAGGAAUCUUAAAACGGCAUACUGUACUGAAGAAGGAAGAUAUCUCAUACAGCGCAUUAUAGACACAGUCAGUUUAAUUUGUGGUACAGCUGCACAGUUAAAUUCCAAAUGAAAAUCUAUGUAGACAUGUAUUGUGAUGCUUUUGGCCAGUUAUUUUGCUUGAAACCAAGACAGAGGGAGCUACUCUAAACUAAAAUGUUUGCUGUUUGUAUUUCAUGCUUGUGGUGCUCGAAACUUCGAUUGCUUGUACAAUGUCUUCAUUCGUCACAUUUUGUAUUACGAAGUAAAGGGGGCAAUGUUUCAGUCAAGACUCAUAUUGAACUUGUGUAUGAGAAUGAUCUCUUCCACACAGAGACAUACAUAUCUCAUCGUCAUCAAAUACUCGUUAUUGAGCGCCCAAAGCCCAGAUAUCGUCUUGGUAUCUUGACUGAAAAAGUAAUUACAACUUUAAUCUGUGUAGAGAAAACAAAACAAAACAGACAAAAAGCCCCUUGGCGUGUGUACUGAAUAAUUUUAUGUUUAGAAAAGCUUCCCCAAAUCAGCUAGUGUGCAAAAAUACCCUCAACAAUUUAACCAUGUAUGGUAAAUCAGCACAAGUUCAACUUAAUAAUUAAAGAAUGAGGAAAGUACUCGAUCACUAGGCAACAAAUCUUCCUUGUAGACAUAAAUACACAAACAGGUGACGAAUACAAAAGAAAUUUGGACUUAUUGUGCUGUUAUUUGUCAAGAGUUGAGAAAGCUUGUCUUUUACCCAGAGGGCCAAUGACCAAAGGCAGUCAUGUAACUGAUGAUGUCAUUAAAUAAACUGGGUUAAAUUUGUGCUUACCAAACCAGAUUCAGAGCUUGACUGAUGACCUAAUGCUGCAAUUACAAUUAUCUCCUUUCACUCCGAUAGUCAGGGUGUAAGACCACAUAAGAUUGAGAACACAAACAAAAAAAAAACCUCAGUUAUUCUUUGCAAAUGCAUGUCUGUGUUUUACAGGUGUGUGUGUGUGCAUAUGUGUGUGUGUGCUACCAGUGCAUGCCACAGCUAUGACUGUAAAGUGUCUGAUGUUUGAAUCGCAGCCAAGAUGGAACAAGAGAAUUAAACCACAGCAGAAAGAAAACGAGAGGGAAAGCUCGAGAGACUGAAAGAGUCAGACAUGAGACAGUUGGGCCAUGCUGCCGCUCAAACCUCUGGCUGCGGAACUCAUGAGCUUUGCUUGUGGCACAUUCCUGCGAUACGUCUUCUCCCCCUGACCAUACAUAGAAUCAGGCACAAUCAGACAGCCAUGAUGUAAAUAUUGAGCUGAGACAUUUUGGCAGCUGAAACUGUGACCUAAAUGCUUUAAGUAUGAGCACUGCCGAUGGGUGUUCCUCAAAAGCAAGAGAAAAAAAUAUAACUAAUGAAGUUACUGUAAUCUUUUUAUAGACUAUCUGAGUAGUCUGGUUGGCUGUGCCAUUAUUCAUGAAUAGCGAUGGAGGGCUGGAAACCAACCUUAGUUUGAUCCACAAGUGUUACACAAACAUUCUGGGUUUCAUUCUGGGUAAUUCUGAUGAGCAGCGGUGGUUACGGAUAUGCCUUGCCAUUAGCUUUGCUAUUAUUGCUUUUAUUGUUUGGUUCCUUGGAGACCACUCAAUAUCUAGAUGGAUGGUUUCACAAUAUGCUUUAACAAUCUGCUCAGCUUUUGGAGGGCUCAGUUGUAACAGUCGUGGAGGGGAAACAAACAGCCGAAUUUACAGAAUGACUGCAGCAGUCAUCGUUGACUCAAACUAAGUCUGUGGCCAAACCUGCUUUAUUCUGUUGUUAGUCAUUUCAGUACUGAUCCUUUCAUAAUGGAAAAUCAAAUAAUUGCAAAAUAAAAAUUAAGAGGUAGAAAAGGACAAAAGCAAAGUGCUUUCAGAUGUAAACAACAUAGAUUGUAGUUAAAGGGAUAUUCCGGCGUAAUAUUAAGUGCAAAAUGAUUAAUAUUAUAAUUAUUACUUUAAGGGAAUGAUAAAGUAAUGAUCAUAAAUGUUCUUCCUUGAGCUGCAUCCCCCCAUUGCAGUCGACGGACUCGCCCAGAGGUCUCCAUACAAACAAACGGCUGCUGGAAGAGAGAGGGUGAGUUGUGUGAAACAAGAAAUCAGGCAAAGCUAAAAAGAUGUUUGGUGGCUAGUGCUA
rnacentral:lncRNA from 1 species